UGGCCCCGCCCCCAAGGCGAGGGUGCGGCCCCGUGAGGUCCCCGCGAGUCCGGAGCUGUGGCGGGCGGGCGGACGAGGGUGUCCCCGGUGCUGGCCUCCCAGGGUGCGGCGGGCUCAGAGGGACGGCCGCUGGCCAAGUGACGCCGAAGCGCCCCCUCCGCCCCGCCGCCUGCACCGCCGCCGACCUUGCCUGUGCGGUCGCCCGUGAGAUUCUUUCGAUCCCCUUCUGUAAGCUCCCCUCCGUCGUGUAUACCUGAGAAAGCCCAGUCUGGAUGAACUCCACCGUUCUCCAUGACAAGUACUGCAGAAACCACAUAACUAAGCUGGCUGGCUUCACUUUAAACUCAGAUGGAGCACUAUACCUCCUUGGCAAUUCUGUGAUUUUCCUACAGAGGGUCCUCAGGUCCCCAGAUGACCAUUCUUCACAAAGACUUGCCUGCACCUCAUCAUCAUAUUGGGGCUUCCCUGGUGGCUCAGAUGGGUUGUCAACUACAAAUUGGCACUCGUCAUCUACCUCUUCAAGGAUUAAAUCGUGCUGCUGGAGCUGCUGAUUUUCAACACCCUCUGAAAAGAGCUGAGAGUGGAGAGCAGAAAUGACGCUGUCUUUGCUCUGGGAAAAACUGGCAGAACAAGUCUUCAAGUAGAUAUUUUCAGAAGAUGAUUUCAUGAGCCCAAUUCUUGUAUCUCCUCAUAUCUAGAAAAGCACUAAAAUCUUUCACGGUUUACAAGUCACUACUGCUCCUUGUGGCUAGCAGAAACCUGCAACAAAUACUUGCUUUGUCACAUAUACUCCCCCUUAACCAAAAUCACAAAUAUAUUGACCCCCUCCCUUCCUCUUUGGAGCAAUUUCUCAGAGCUAUCUGAGAUGCUGUCUCCCAGGCUGUACUCCUCAUUUUGCCCCCGAUAAAAUUUAACUCACA
ensembl:lncRNA